rnacentral:rRNA from 1 species
AACGAACGCUGGCGGCAGGCUUAACACAUGCAAGUCGAGCGCCCCGCAAGGGGAGCGGCAGACGGGUGUGUAACGCGUGGGAAUCUACCCAUCUCUACGGAAUAACGCAUGGAAACGUGUGCUAAUACCGUAUACGUCCUUCGGGAGAAAGAUUUAUCGGAGAUGGAUGAGCCCGCGUAGGAUUAGCUAGUUGGUGGGGUAAAGGCCUACCAAGGCGACGAUCAAUAGCUGGUCUGAGAGGAUGAUCAGCCACACUGGGACUGAGACACGGCCCAGACUCCUACGGGAGGCAGCAGUGGGGAAUAUUGGACAAUGGCGCAAGCCUGAUCCAGCCAUGCCGCGUGAGUGAUGAAGGCCCUAGGGUUGUAAAGCUCUUUCACCGGUGAAGAUAAUGACGGUAACCGGAGAAGAAGCCCCGGCUAACUUCGUGCCAGCCGCCGCCGUAAGAC